rnacentral:rRNA from 1 species
CCCGCACAAGCAGCGGAGCGUGUGGUUUAAUUCGUAUGUUACACGAAGAACCUUACCAGGGUUUGACAUGCAAGUGGUAGGAAGCCGAAAGGUGACCGACCCUUCGGGGAGCUUGCACAGGUGCUGCAUGGCUGUCGUCAGCUCGUGUCGUGAGAUGUUCGGUUAAGUCCGCUAACGAGCGCAACCCUCGCUGUGUGUUAUAUGUGUCACACGGGACUGCCGGUCUUAAGCCGGAGGAAGGUGGGGAUGAUGUCAAGUCAGCAUGGCCUUUAUAUCCUGGGCUACACACACGCUACAAUGGCCAACACAAUAGGUUGCUAAGCCGCGAGGUGGCGCCAAUCCAUAAAGUUGGUCUCAGUUCAGAUUGUAGGCUGCAACCCGCCUGCAUGAAGAUGGAGUUGCUAGUAACCGCAGGUCAGCUAUACUGCGGUGAAUACGUUCCCGGACCUU